AAAACUUUUCGCUAAUAGAAGAGCCUAUGUAGGAUUAGGUAGUUGGUAUUUUGGGUAAAAGCCUACCAAGCCUAAGAUCCUUAGCUGUUCUGAGAGGUUGAACAGCCACACUGGGACUGAGACAAGGCCCAGGCUCCAUUUGGAGCCAGCAGUGAGGAAUUUUGGACAAUGAGCGAAAGCUUGAUCCAGCAAUACUACAUGAGUGAAGAAGGCUUUCAAGUUGUAACACUCUUUGGUUGAGGAGGAUAAUGACAGUACUCAACAAAAUAGCCCCGGCUAACUUCGUGCCAGCAGCCGCGGUAAGACGAAGGGGGCGAGCGUUAUCCGGAAUGACUGGGCGUAAAGGGUCCGUAGGCAGCAUUUUUUGUUGGAAGUUAAAUAAAAAAGCUUAACUUUUUUCCGCUUCUAAAACGUAAAUGCUUUGAGUUUGAUAGAAGAUAGCAGAAUUUCACAAGGAGGGGUGAUAUCCAGAGAUCUGUGAAGGAAUAUCAGAUGCGAAGGCGGCUAUCUAGAUCAACACUGACGUUGAGGGACGAAAGCAUGGGGAGCAAACAGGAUUAGAUACCCUGGUAGUCCAUGCCCUAAAAGAUGAGUGUUCGUGCUUAGAGAACUUUAGGCACUUAGUUAACACGUUAAACACUCCGCCUGGGGAGUACGAUCGCAAGGUUGGAACUCAAAGGAAUUGACGGGGGCCUAUACAAGUGGUGGAGCAUGUGGUUUAAUGCGAUAAUACGCGCGAAGCCUUACCAGUUCUUGACAUAAAAAAGAAAAAGUUUGAAAAAGCAAUUUUAAAGAUUUUUACAGGUGCUGCAUGGCUGUCGUAAGCUCGUGUCGUGAGAUGUUAGGUUAACUCCUUUUAACGGGCGAAACCCCUUUUUUUCGUUGCUACUUAAUUUUAUUUUUAAAGCACUCUAAAAAAACUGCUCCCUUUUUUUAAUUCGGAGAGGAAGGUGGGGAUGACGUCAAGUCCUUAUGGCCCUUAUGAACUGGGCUACACACGUGCUACAAUGGUAAAGACAAUAAGAAGUGAUAGGGUAACCUAAAACCAAUCUUUAAACUUUAUCAAAGUUCGGAUUGUGGACUGCAACUCGUCCAUAUGAAGGUGGAAUCACUAGUAAUCGCACAUCAGCAUGUUGCGGUGAAUUUGUACCUAGGCCUUGUACACACCGCCCGUCACGUGCCGGGAGUUGGC
rnacentral:rRNA from 1 species